rnacentral:rRNA from 1 species
GACGAACGCUGGCGGCGUGCUUAACACAUGCAAGUCGAACGGAAAGGCCCUGCUUUUGUGGGGUGCUCGAGUGGCGAACGGGUGAGUAACACGUGAGUAACCUGCCCUUGACUUUGGGAUAACUUCAGGAAACUGGGGCUAAUACCGGAUAGGAGCUCCUGCUGCAUGGUGGGGGUUGGAAAGUUUCGGCGGUUGGGGAUGGACUCGCGGCUUAUCAGCUUGUUGGUGGGGUAGUGGCUUACCAAGGCUUUGACGGGUAGCCGGCCUGAGAGGGUGACCGGCCACAGUGGCACUGAGAUACGGCCCAGACUCCUACGGGAGGCAGCAGUGGGGAAUAUUGCACAAUGGGCGGAAGCCUGAUGGAGCAACGCCGCGUGCGGGAUGACGGCCUUCGGGUUGUAAACCGCUUUCGCCUGUGACGAAGCGUGAGGGACGGUAAUGGGUAAAGAAGCACCGGCGAACUACGG